GUCAGCGUGUUAUUACUGUCUGAUUUGAUCGGAGGCAGGGGGUGGUCUCCAAUCAAACAGAGAAAAGGUCCUGGAGAAGUAGGGCUCGGUUUGGCUGGGGGGGCGGCCCAGUGUGGAGCCUCGCAGCAGUUUCCAGGCCCUCACUCUCGGCUUUCCCGGCUCUGAAAUAACUGCGUCCGGAGAUGUCAGCCUUCCAGUCCCAGGGACGCAGCCUUUGAUCCCGAUGAGGACCCUGAGACAUGGAAGAGCACUUUGUUCAAGAUCACAUGGUAUCAAAGUGAUCAAGCUGAGCCUUUCUCCAAGCAUCUGGGCUCCCACACCAGUCACGGAGCCACAGUUGGCGAGGUGGUUGUGAGGCGACACGCAGAGGUGCAUGUGCCAGUCAUAGUUCCAGCAGGAAAGAGACAACAGCCUCAAAGCUGGCUAACUGUGAGGUAUUUAAUAAGGAACUUACUCCAGGGUUUAGGGAAACCAAAAGGAAUGGUUCAGUGUCCCAGACGUAGCAACAGUAGAUGGGUAUGCCCACCACCAGUCCCAGAAGAAAAAGGAAAGGAAGUGGUUACGAGAAUCCAGAAUAUUUACAGCAGAUCUUCACUCAUAAGAGCAGGAUGCUAUAUGACAGCCACAA